rnacentral:rRNA from 1 species
AAGAAGCAAGACCGUGAGGUGGAGCAAAACUCAAAAACUUAGUCUCAGUUCGGAUUGUAGGCUGAAACUCGCCUACAUGAAGCUGGAGUUGCUAGUAAUCGCGAAUCAGCAUGUCGCGGUGAAUACGUUCCCGGGCCCUUGUACACACCGCCCGUCACACCAUGAGAGUUGGCAAUACCCAACGUACGUGAUCUAACCCGCAAGGGAGGAAGCGUCCUAAGGUAGGGUCAGCGAUUGGGGUGAAGUCGUAACAAGGUAGC